rnacentral:rRNA from 1 species
AUGGCUCAGGAUGAACGCUAGCUACAGGCUUAACACAUGCAAGUCGAGGGGCAGCAUGAGAUUAGCUUGCUAAUCUUGAUGGCGACCGGCGCACGGGUGAGUAACGCGUAUCCAACCUUCCCCCUACUCAGGCAUAGCCCGGUGAAAACCGGAUUAACUCCUGAUAGUUUCACUAGAUGGCAUCUGACGGUGAAUAAAGCUCAGCGGUAAGGGAUGGGGAUGCGUCUGAUUAGCUUGUUGGCGGGUAACGCCACCAAGGCGACGAUCAGUAGGGGUUCUGAGAGGAAGGUCCCCCACAUUGGAACUGAGACACGGUCCAAACUCCUACGGGAGGCAGCAGUGAGGAAUAUUGGUCAAUGGGCGCGAGCCUGAACCAGCCAAGUAGCGUGCAGGAAUGACGGCCCUAUGGGUUGUAAACUGCUUUUGUAUGGGAAUAAAGUCAGGGACGUGUCCCUGUUUGCAUGUACCAUAAGAAUAAGGACCGGCUAAUUCCGUGCCAGCAGCUGC